ACCUGGGUGGCUCAGUCAGUUAAGCAUCUGACUUCAGCUCAGAUCUCACAGUUCAUGGGUUAGAGUCCUGUGUCAGGCU
rnacentral:tRNA from 1 species